AAGAAUGGGUUUGUCGAGAAUUAAAUAUUUUUCUUCAAAAAAAGCACCAGAUUAGAGAAGAAGAAUUAUGGUUGCAUAGGUCUGGAAUUAAAAAAUAAAAAAAAUAAAUCACAUGAAGAACAAAGAACAAACUAAACCCAGAAUUAACAAACACAAUCAAAACUCAAAAAUCAAUGAUACAGUGAAUGAAAAUCAAAAACUUAAAAUCUAUGCUUGUUCUUCGAGGUGUGAUCUUUACCAUCGAACCUCUGGUCAAGAUCGUGGGCGAGCUUGAAGACGCAUGCGGCGCAUGAUGCUUCAAUCGCCUUCCCUCUUUUUCCUUUUGCAGAACAACGUUAAUUUUUUUAUUUUUUUUUAUUGACACAAGGGACAAUUAUGAAGGAUUUGGAAGAACUAAUCGUAAAAAUAGCAUUUUCUUCAUCCAAAUUUUCUUGGCACAAAAAAAAC
rnacentral:lncRNA from 1 species